rnacentral:rRNA from 1 species
ACGAACGCUGGCGGCUGCUUAACACAUGCAAGUCGAACGAGUGGCGAACGGGUGAGUAAUACGUGAGUAACCUGCCUAUGACAGUGGGAUAGCCUCGGGAAACCGGGAUUAAUACCGCAUAGUCAUAGAUGGGCUCGCGUCUGAUUAGCUAGUUGGUGAGAUAACAGGCCACCAAGGCGACGAUCAGUAGCCGGUCUGAGAGGAUGAACGGCGACAGUUGACGUGAGACACGGUCCAAACUCCUCCGGGAGGCGUCAGUGGGGAAUAUUGCACAAUGGGGGAAACCCUGAUGCAGCGACUCCGCGUGAACGAAGAAGGUAUUCGUAUCGUAAAGUUCUGUCCUAUGGGAAGCAGUACCAUAGAAGAAAGCUCCGGCUAAAUACGUGCCAGCAGCCGCGGUAAUAC